CCUGCGCUAAGCCGGCUUCCCGGCGCCAUUUUGUCUGGGCAGCGGCGGCCGCAGCUCUAUCGCAUUUUAGGCUUCUGGCUGGGCAGGAGCGGACUGCUCAUCCCCUGAAUUCAUUUCAGGGCGGCGGCCAUCCCCAGUUCCUUCCGGGACAGCACCUGGUGAAGGUCGGGAGGAUCGCGGACCUGUCAAAAAGAAAACAGGACAUACCAGUGCCGGAUACCUGAAAACAAUCCUGGGGCUCCCUGACUCUGUCCCUUCAUGUUGGAAAUGUUGAUGCUGAACAGUUAAGAUAUUUGAAACCAUCUACUGGAAAGUUUUUGCCAGAUGUUUCAUCUUUUAGGUAUCUUUAUGAAUGGCAGAAACAAAAGCAAAUGGAGUCUUGUCAGAUAAGUGGUUUUAUAAUCUAAAUUAUUUUUACUCUCUAAACUAAAUGUUUAUUCUUUGAAACAUUUUUUAUUUUUUAUUUUUUUUAGGUACCAAUAGCAAGAAGAUUUACAGUAGUAAGGUACUGAAUCUUUUCUGGAAAUAAAAUUGUAAUCUUGUCAAAGUAAAAUGUAGCAGUCUUAUUUCUCCCCUACCCCACAGAAGUAAUCAUAUCUCAUUACUAGUAAGUUACAAAGUGCCUUUAUAGGGGCCUCUGUGGUGGCCCAGGGCUUAAAGUCUCAGCACUACACUGCUCAAGACCCACCACAAUGGCUUGAGUUUGAUCCCCUACCAGGGAGCUAACCCAUAUAUGGCACAGCAGACCUUUCCUAUCUCACCUGCUGCUCUCCUUAGCAGUGUGUUUCAGAUCUGCCUGUUCUGCUCCAGUUCUGCCUUGUUCAAGAGUAGAAGGUCCAUGUGCUACUUAUACUUCGGAAAAGUAUACAAUAACCCGAUACUCUUUUCCAGGAUAAUCAUCUUAUGAAGUUAAAUCUCUCUGUAGGUAGGUUUAAUGUUGUUCAAGUUUUUACCCACGACCAGCAUCAUUCUGAGGUAAAUGAGUAGCUAAGUAAUUGUAUUAAUACAGGACAGUAGCCAUAUUAAUUUGAUACUGAUUUGAGUUGCAUGUAUAAUAUAAACUACACACGUGCUCAGAGUCCAGCAAUACCCCACUGCUAAGUUCAAUGACUAGAUUACUUUCUUAGAAAGCAUGACAGUUUUAAGGGAACGAUACUGGCAUGAACCCAAUAAAAAGGGUGUGUCUACCUGGCCUCAGUUCAAAUUGUUUCUUCCUGCUUGGAGUGUUAGUUGAGGUUGUUAACAGUCGUUCUUCCUAGUUACAAGACUGAUUAUUCCAUUUAGUAACAUAUCUGCUUACAGAGCACUUCCACAUACAUUCUGGGUUUUUUGGCAGAAAAUAUGGCUAUUUCUAUUUAAGUGACAGGAUAGGGACUUUGGAUCCUUAAGUCCACUCCUCACCACAAUGAAGAAAAAAAGUAUUUUUGACCUUUCAACCUGUUAAACAUCUGUCUUGUGUAUCACUUCCAGAAGGUUAACAGUGACUAAUAACCAACAAUAAUUUUGGUAAAUAAAAAACUGGGCUAUGGCAUCAUUUGCCUUUAGGUACUUUUUAUAUACUGUAUCUUAGCUAGAUACAAUCUUUAGAUUCUAGUUGAGUGAUGAGCCCUGAAUUAAUCUGAUUCCAAAGCAUGUUUUUUUUUUUUUUGCAGUAUUUUAAUGCUGAGUAAAUAUGUGCUGAAUUAUCCCCACAAAUUUUGUCAAGCAGAUAUUAACCAGACUUCAGUCAUUACAAGACAAAAGUUUAAUGAAAACUGGUUAAUGGAUAUGUAAUAAUCCAGUAAGCGAAAUAGUUACAUGGGACCAUAUUAGAAAUUUAAAACAGAUGCUGAAGUAAAUGUUACAUAUUAUCAUCAUCUGAUUCAUCUUCUUCCUUCAAAGAUUCCUAUUAAGAGAAAAAUAGUAUUUAAAAUCAACUUUUAAUAUUGCUUUAACAACUGGAAUCAAUUCAUUAAGCACCUGUCAUUAAAAAUUCUUUGUAACUGAAAAAUGAACACUUUUAGAAUAAGACACACAAGUAAAGGAUAAUAAGUGUAUCUUGCUCUAACAAUAAUUAUGUUCUUGGUAAAAUACAGUAUGAAUGCAGUAAAUGUCCCCCCCAAAUUCUUGUCAUUUGCACACAAAAACUUUUUGGAAUCAGAUCAACUUUAUCCCCUUGAAAAUUCCAUUCGUGGUUUAGCUCAACUCGUGUUAUUUAGAAAUAGAAUCAACCAAGUUCUUUUAUUCACUUAUUUCCAUGAUACCUUCAGCAAAGUAAGUUUUCAGUGCUGUGGCUUACCUUAGCAUAUUUCUCUGCCUCUUCCCUUAUAUCUUUUGGAACAAUUUCAUGUCUUCCUUUAGUUACUGAAAAUUAAGGCAAACAUUCAAAUGAAUUAAAAAUGAGGACUAGAUUAUUUGCUAAUACCAUACAACCUGCACAGAUAUACAAACCCACUUAAUAUGUAAAACUGUACUUCGUAGUACCAGACACGUUGAACACAUCUUUGUUUUUUCUCCAGAUGAGAUUAAAUUUGUAAAAACGUUAGCUUAGAACAAAGAUUACACUAUGAUUUAUCCUGAUGAUAUGAUAAAUCCUGAGUACUUGUUAAUACACAGUAUGUGUUUUUUUUUUUUAAGGCUAGCCUUAAAGUCCUGUGCUACAAAGAAAAAAUUGGUGAUUCCUUAGUAAUAACUGAAAAAUAUGAAAAGGAUGUUUAAAAAAAGGGUAUAUUGUUCAGAACUUUCUUCAAAAAGAGACUACCUGGUAAAUCUAAUCUGGCUUUCUUUUGUAUUCGCCACCCAGUGAUUGGGAUAAAUUUAUGCAAUACCCACUGCAGCUGAACAUGUUUAUAUUUCAUCAUCCACUAAAAUUCCACUUUUUAUGUAUAAUACCAACAGAAAUGCUACAUUUGUGUACCAAAAUAACCAUAUAAAAUGUUGCAGAAACAUUAUAGUUUUAAAAAAAGGCUACCAGGGCCUCCCUGGUGAGGCAAGGGAUUAAGCACAGCACUAUGAAGCAAUCUGCAGCCUCUGCAGCACAAGUUCAAUCCCUGGCCUACCAGGGAGCAACUCACAUGGAGCAGCAGAUCUUUCCUGACUCGCCCCCUGCUCCCCUCAGCAGUGUAUUUCUGUCAGUCUGCCUGUUCUUUUCCCCACUCUGGUGAAUCCUGUCACUCCCCACGCCCUGCAUCUCUGGCCUGUACCCCAGCUGUUGUAUGCAUAAAUAAACCAAUCUUUAAUAUUAAAAAAAAAACUACCAAAUUGUCCAACAGAGAAAAUGUAUAAACUGGUACAUAAAACAACACACACCAUGAAGCAAGUCAAACAAGUAUUACUAUAUAAGACAUGAUUUGUACAAAUACAACACUAAAGUUACGGACAAGAGAGUUUAUAGUGUAAUUCCAUACAAGCAAAACAAUUCAUGGUGUUAGAAUUAAGGAUACUGGUUACUCUGGGAAGACAGUGGACAGGGAUUUCAAGGACACUCAAAGGGUCACCUUGGGAGGCUAGUCAAUUUUUAACUGUGACUUUUCUAUAUAUAAAUAAAUUAUUUUAAAAAUUAAAGGCAGUUGGGCCUCCCCUGGUGGCGCAGCGGUUGAGCGCUGGGCUGCGAAGCUGCUCGCAGCCUCUGCAGCGCCGGUUCAAUCCCCGGCCACCGGUGAGGGUCCCACAUGGUGCGACAGACCUCUCCUGCACCCGCUGUUCCCCUCAGCAGUGUACUUUGGUCCUUCUGCCUGUUCUGCUCCCCGUUCUUGCUCUGUCUCACCCUCCCGCGCUUCUGACUGUACCCAGUGCUUGUAUAAAUAAAUAAAUGAAUAAAUCUUUUUAAAAAAUUAAAGGCAAUUGGUGGCAAAUUAGAUUAACUAUAGAUGACUCCAAGAAUGAAUAAAUGUACAAAAGUAACUUACAUUCACCAACCCAGCUGAGCUCUAAUUCAAAAGCUUUAUCCUUAACUUCAUCAUGUACUAUAUAAAUUCUAGAACAGAAAAGAAAGAUCAUUUGGUCAUCUACACACAUACUUCAUGCACCCAGUCACUACAAAUUAUUAAAUAUCUAACCCUAAUAUUAAUAUUUAUAAAAUUAUACACAGAUAGACUUAUUACAAACAUUAGAAAAGACAAAAUAUACAAGGGUUGAUAUAAAAUUAAACAGUACACAUGAUUCAAUAUAAACGUACAACAAACCUGGCUGUGUUUUUAAUACUGUUUUAAAAGACAUAAACCUCGUAAGGAACACAGAUUCAAACAGGAAAAAAGCCAUCAUUUACCUCUUGUUUCAGGUUUUUUUCAUUUAUUAACUACUUAAUUUUAAGACAUACUGAUUAAUGUGCUUGCAAUUUUUAGUGGUGUCUCUAAUCUGCAGCUAUUUGACAAGAAUCUUUUUAAACAUCUUGUCAAUUUUAUAAGAAUUAUAUUCUACUCAACCUGGUCUUCAAACAUGAACAAGCAAUGACAAGCACUACAUUGUAGUAAACAGAGGGAACAUCAAACAAUAUAUUAAAAGUAUCAAAAAAUUAUCAGGAAAUCUUUCUUAUUUUAGUUUUCAUCCUUACAGUUACUGUGGAGGUCUUCCUGAAGCCUUGCUGUAAUACAAGAUAGCAUUCCUAGUGCUCCUUUUUAGAAAAUGAUAAAAGGGAUGGCUCUGUACAUGGAUAUAACCUGGUCAUAAAAGGAGUGGGACGGGCUGAUUUCUAGAAGCAAUUUUGGUUAAGGAAAUUGAGUUUACCAUUUUAAACUGUUGGUCAGUUCAGUAAGGACUAUUUAAUUUCUUUAAGUGGCUCUAUCAUAUGCUAGUUCCCAGUUUUCCUAAGUUACUAACUAAUCACAAUGAAUUCUUCACAAUAAACUGGAAGGGUUCUAAUAGUAAAGGGGGUGGUGCAGUAGCAAAACUGGUAAAAAUAAUUAGAAAAUUACAAAGCACAUAUGAAAUUUUGAUACACUCAGGAUUACCAAAAUAGAAUGUAUUUUCAGCAUAGAAGAGCCCUCUAGGAUUUCUAUCAUUAUCAUAAAACCGGAGACACACAAAGAGCUAACUAAUCUGUGUUCAUGUAAUUCUAAUGUGCAAUAGUUUCAGGUGCUGUGAAUCUGUGGAGUGCUGUUAUUUUAAAAUUUUAAAUGCUGGCUGCAAAAAUCAGCAUUUCAUUGCACUUUUUUGUUUGUUUACCAAAUGCUUGCAUUCUUUGAUCUGGAAGAAUCAUGAAUUCUGAACCACUGCCACUCAGGUUUACUGACUUUUGUUGCUCACUAUCCUGUGUUAUGUAGCAUUCUACUGUCAUAAAUCACUUAAAGCCCUUUCAGGCUGUUUUUAAAUGUUUUUGAAAUACUGCUCACCUCAUCUUAUUACAAAAACUUUCAUGAUUGGGGCCUCCCUGGUGGCCCAAGGGGUUAGAUCUCAGCACAAUGAAGCUAUCCACAGCCACUGCACAAGUUCUAUCCCUGGCCAGGUAGCUAUCCACAUGGCAACAGCAAAACACUAUCUUGCCCUCUGCUCCCCUUAGCAGUGUAUUUCAGUAGAUCUGCCUGUUCUGCUCCCCACUCAGUCUCUGGUGAAUCAUCUACCCCCACUCCUGCAUCUCUGUCCUACACCCUAGUUUUUGCAUGCAUAAAUAAGUAUUAAAAAAAAAAAAACAAAAACUAAACUUCCGGGCCUCCCCGGUGGGGUGGUGCAGCGGAUUGAGCGCAGCCUCUGCAGCACCAGUUUGGUUCAUCUCCUGGCUGGCCAAGGGGAUUCCCACAAGGUGGGGCAGACCUCUCCUGCUUCAUCCCCUGCUCCCCUCAGCAGUGUACUUCGGUCCUUCUGCCUGUUCUGCUCCCUGCUCUGUGUCUGGUGAAUUCUCUCACCCUCUUGCGCCUCUGGCCUAUUCCCCAGCUCUUGUAUAAAUAAAAUCUUUUAAAGAAAAAUAACUUUCAUUAUUAAGAUACAUCUUUCCCAGAGAAACAGAUUAUAAAAAUAAGCAGGCUUUGUGGACCAUGUACAGACAUAAUUGAGUAUAAACUUAGAGGUUCACCACAUCUAUUUAGAUGAAUUCUGUCACCUACACAGUCCAUUGUCAAAAGCUAUUUUUUUCAUCUCAUUAUCUCUUGAAAUACAGAAAAUAUCAUUUAUGUGACUUCUGAGAAUGUUAAAUUCACCUUCUAAUAAUGAUGCACUGAACUAUUUUUUAGCAAAACAGUCUCUUAGAAUUAUGUAUAAGUAAUGGCAAGAAAAUAUUUUUGUCAAUGGUUAGGAAAAUUUCAACUUACAUUUUUGCAACUUCUUUAACAACAUCACGGCAGGUCAUUUCUUUCAUCUACAGAAAAUAUAUUAAAUUAUGUGUCAAAAGGAAAACAUACCACUUUGGUAACUAUUUUUCAGAUUCUUUUCAGGAGUUCUACCAACCUCUAAUGCUCCUGAUAGCUGCAUACAUAAAACUUAGCAAAAUCACCUAAAAUGAUUUUAAAUUACUACACUGAAAGAGAGUCUUGGCAACCCCUGGCUGGGAACUAAUUCUGUGGUAUUAAAAUUUAUAAGAAUGCAGAUCCUCUAAAACUAUUCAUAGGCACCCCUUAUGUUUCAAAGACUGAAAAAAUCUUUUUAUAGCCAAUUUAGAAGAAUAAAAUGCAAACAAACUGUGACUACCUACUAUACAAAAGAUAAAGAGAGAUGAAGGCAUAAGAUAAAUUGUCCCUCAUGGAAACUACUCAAGACAAAAAUAUAAAAUGUCAAAGCUUUGACAGAAUCAAGAUUUGACUGGGUCCUUAGAACACACAUUGGACUUACUUUGAUUUCAAGGAAGAUACACAAAGCAGAAGAGGAAAACCAAAAUAUUUUUUCAUAUCAUAGGUUAUAUAGUAUUCUUACAAUGAACUUUUCAAAGUAGGAUAGAAAAUAGCACUUAAAUGCCUGGCUGAGGAGUUUAUACAGUGCAGGUACGGGAAAGAACCAGCAGAUGCAGGAUCUAUUAGGCAUAUGUGUUUCUGAAUACACAAGAUUUUUUAAAAAGUCUGAGCAAACUGGCAUAUGCUAAGAAUGGAAAAUGGUUAGAGAUAAGCAGUUCAGGCUUAGAUGACUCAAUUACUGCAUCUCUAGAAAUCCUGAUGCUUCUAGCUGCCUGUACAGGAGACAGAAAAAAAACAGAAAAUUAUAAUGGAAAGAGAGAACUCAAGAUAUAAGAAACAAAUGCAAUGUAUGAACUUUAAAGAUUUUUUUUUUUAAUUUUAUUUUUAUACAAGAACCAGGGUACAGGCCAGAUGCACGGGAGGAUGAGAGGAUUCACCAGAGACAGAGCAGGGAAAAGAACAGGCAGACUGGCGAAAUACACUGCUGAGAGGAGCAGCAGGCGAGACAGGAGAAUCUGCUCGCCAUGUGGGAUUCUCACUGGCCAGCCGGGAUUGAAUCCGCGCUACAGAGGCUGCGGACAGCUUCAUAGUACAGCGCUCAACCACCUGCGCCACCAGGGAGGCCCCUCAACGUAUGAACUUUAUACUGUAAUUUGAAAAAAUUAUGACACUGUUGAGAUUACUGAGGCACUUAUACUGAAGAUUGAAUAUUAGAUGAUAUAUUUGAUAAUGUUAUUCUAAGGAGAUGAAUGCUGAAGUAUUUACGGAUCAAUGUCAUGGUAUCUGUAAUUUUUGUUUAAAGUAUUUCAGAAAAAAUAUUGGAAAAUAGUAACUGUUCAAUCUACAUGGAAAGGUUUAUUAUACUAUUCUGUUGUUUAAAUUUUUUUAUAUUGGGAGUGAAGAGAAGGAAAAGAAUACCCACCCUUAUGCUUUUGCCUUUAUAGGUUAAGUUCUGUAUUUAGAAAAACAUUGUAUUAUACAAAGGCACAUUUUAAAUGAUAAAUUUUUAUAUAAGUUCAUGAAAUUUUUAUAAAAUAGUGUUUUUGAUAAAUAACAUCAGAAAAAGACAAUGAUGUUGAGGAGGAUUCAGGAAACUCAGUAAAGGGCCAAAGAGUAAAUAUUUUAGACCUUAUGAUCCAUUUGAUCUUUGAUACCUGUUCCAACUAUUAAAUUCUACUGUUUGAAAUCAGCCAAUUCUGAAUGUGAUUGUGUUCCAAUAAAACUUUAAAAAGCAGGCUGUAGGGCAUCAUUUUCUGACUUUUGAUUUAGAGCCCGUGUAUCAUUUAAGUAUACAUGUAAUUCUACUGACACAAUUUUUCUAAAUUCUUAGCUAGGACUUUUGGUUUUCCCAUUCUUGCUAGAAUUUAACUACAGAGAGACAAAGAGAUAGCUGACUGCCCUAAAUACUCAUUUAAAAAUUUCCAAAUAAUACUAAGAGGAGACUGAAAGCAAAAGGAAAAAAAAGAAGACAAUAACUUAGCACUAUAGUAAGACAUGUGUAAUGGGAAAGAACACUGAUCAUGAGGUCUGGGUAGUGUGUUUAACCCAGGGCUGGGCUUAGGCUAAGGAAUCUCAAAGAUCCUUUUGUUGGUUUUGCUAAAAUUUUAAUUGUGAGUUAGGCUUUACAAGUCUAAGACUUAGCAAAUACCAAGCACAAAAGAGAUGUUUUCUCUAACCUGACCUUAAAAGAGAAGUUUAAUGAGUAAUUAGUUGAGUAAGGUUUUAAUACAGCAUUAAUAUCAAAGAUAUGUGAACUUUUCCUAUGCCUGCCUUUCAAGAAAGUCUCAAAAGCAAUUAAGUUUGAGAUAUAUUGUUUCAAUAUUAAGUUCACCGGUUUAUGCCUAAAAGGAAAAUGAGCAAAUGUUAAAGAAAAGUGACACUAUAGAUGAAUUUAUGACUCUUAGAAAGAGAAAUGGGUGGUUGGAAUAAAAUGGGAUUUUAUGUUUCAGACUCUUAGUCCAAGACUUCAUAGACAAAAGACAUGCUCCAGAGAAGAAAUGAUAUAGUAAAAUACCACAGUCCACAAUCUAAAGCCCACAGAACAAUAUGAAUGGGUUUCAAGUGCUUUUUGAAAUUUUAUUGAAAUGUAUUUUUCUGGAUUAAGGAUUUAUGGUAAGUUGUAGUCAUAAUCAUUGGGAUCCAUGCAUGACACAACUUACAUAUUUGCUACCAGUUUGCAUCUCCAGCUACUUAGCAGUUUCAGAAAGCUCUGCCCAAAACAAAUCAAAAUAUGUCCUUGAACUAAUAGGUUUACUUUGUGAUGAGAUAAAACUUCACUACAUGAGGAUGUUAUAGCAGAAAUCAAAUCAUUAAAGUAUAUAUUACCUGUAGUUUUUCUAUUUCUGUCUUUGCUGCUUGCCUUGCUUUGCCAAUCGCACAGCCCCAGUAGCCCUAUUUAAAAAGAACAUACAACAAAAUACAUACAAUUUAACUAAAUGAACAUAUUAUCAUCAAUGGCUACUAUUGUUUUUAUUUUAAAGUUAAAGAAAGGAUAUUAAAUGAUUUUCAAAAUUAAGUAGGUAGGAAUAUAGUCAAACAUUCUUAUGAACAAGGGGCUUAAAAAUUAAA